GUGACUUUGGAGAGCUAAGCUUUGGUGAGAACUUAAAACCUAAAACACUGUGACACUAUGCUUCUUUCAGAACAGAGCCUUCAAGAUCAAGAGGCUUAGGUGCUUGAAAAAAAUGGCUUUUGGAGGCCAGAAAGCAAGUGAACAAGGGAGAGAAGAUACUCAGGACAGAAGAUACUGCACCACGUUUGGAAGUCAUCCAGGGAUGAGACCCGUGUGUGGUAAGACAGAACAUCAUGGAGGAGAGAAGCUGCUGACUGUGGCAGAUAAGACCCAGAGAAAGACAAUGAAAAGGACAGUAACUGGAAUAAGGCAGAACUUUCCAACUGGAUUCCUUUGCUGGGAAAUGAAAAUACCUUCGUGUUGAAAUGGCAAUCCGUGGUGGUUUCUCUGCUGAAUGGGCCCUGACAGACCCACUUUCAGAACCUAUUCAGUUCUUAUUGAUCACCGUUUUCUGCCCGGCAUGAGCCAUCGGAGUACACCCAUCUCUGCAGAGCUACUGCAAGUAACAAAAGAGCUGAGUUUGGAGCAGGGAACUUGGUGUUCGAGUCUCAGUUCUACCAAGGACUGACCGUGUGACCUCAGGGACUUUAGAUCUUUGAGCCUUCACUUGCCUACUCCACAAAGAGGAAGGAGGGAUUCUAAUGGAUUUCUAAGUUCCCUUCCAUGUUCAAAAGUUCUUUAUCUCCUGUACUGGAAUAUAUAUGGAAAUUCCCUUCCAAUCGACUUUAGUAAAGCUCAUCUUUAAAGUCAUAAAGGAACUGUGAAAUAUUAAAAGUAGAGGGAUGGAGGAAGGCAGGCCCUGGCCCAGAUGAGUA